ensembl:snRNA U6 U6 spliceosomal RNA
GUGCUUGCUUCAGCAGCACAUAUACUAAAACUGGAACGAUACAGAGAAGAUUUGCAUGGCCCCUGCGCAAGGAUGACACACAAAGUCAAAGUCAUGAAGCGUUCCAUAUUAAA